CCCCAGACCUUGCUUGGUGGGAAUAUACUUGAAAUGGAUUACUCUUGCUUGUGGCAUCUGCUCUAACCUACCUGAUUUUAAGCAUUACUAAUGACACGUUGUGCUCUUAAAUGCGAAAAGACACUGCAAGCUUUAUUACGCCGACACCUAAAUGGUAAGUCC